GAUGAAGAACGUAGCGAAAUGCGAUAAGUAAUGUGAAUUGCAGAAUUCAGUGAAUCAUCGAAUCUUUGAACGCACAUUGCGCCCGCCAGUAUUCUGGCGGGCAUGCCUGUUCGAGCGUCAUUUCAACCCUCAAGCCCCAGCGGCCUGGUGUUGGGGACCGGCGACCUCGCCCGAGCCCGCCCUCCGGGCGCGUGCCCGGUGCGUCCGCCGCCCCCGAAAUGAAUUGGCGGCCUCGUCGCGGCCUCCUCUGCGUAGUAGCACAACCUCGCAAGCGGGAGCGCGACGCGGCCACUGCCGUAAAACGCCCAACUUUUUUAGAGUUGACCUCGGAUCAGGUAGGAAUACCCGCUGAACUUAAGCAUAUCAAUAAGCGGAGGA
rnacentral:misc_RNA from 1 species